GAUGAAGAACGUAGCGAAAUGCGAUAAGUAGUGUGAAUUGCAGAAUUCAGUGAAUCAUCGAAUCUUUGAACGCACAUUGCGCCCCUUGGUAUUCCAUGGGGCAUGCCUGUUCGAGCGUCAUUUGUACCUUCAAGCUCUGCUUGAUGUUGGGUGUUUGUCUCGCCUCUGCGUGUAGACUCGCCUCAAAACAAUUGGCAGCCGGCGUAUUGAUUUCGGAGCGCAGUACAUCUCGCGCUUUGCACUCAUAACGACGACGUCCAAAAGUACAUUUUUACACUCUUGACCUCGGAUCAGGUAGGGAUACCCGCUGAACUUAAGCAUAUCAAUAAGCGGAGGA
rnacentral:misc_RNA from 1 species